GAGAAGGCUAUGUUGGCCGGGCGACGGUUGUCCCGGUUUAAGCGUGUAGGCUGGUUUUCCAGGCAAAUCCGGAAAAUCAAGGCUGAGGCGUGAUGACGAGGCACUACGGUGCUGAAGCAACAAAUGCCCUGCUUCCAGGAAAAGCCUCUAAGCAUCAGGUAACAUCAAAUCGUACCCCAAACCGACACAGGUGGUCAGGUAGAGAAUACCAAGGCGCUUGAGAGAACUCGGGUGAAGGAACUAGGCAAAAUGGUGCCGUAACU
rnacentral:rRNA from 1 species